rnacentral:rRNA from 1 species
UGCAGUCGAGCGGACAGAUGGGAGCUUGCUCCCUGAUGUUAGCGGCGGACGGGUGAGUAACACGUGGGUAACCUGCCUGUAAGACUGGGAUAACUCCGGGAAACCGGGGCUAAUACCGGAUGGUUGUUUGAACCGCAUGGUUCAAACAUAAAAGGUGGCUUCGGCUACCACUUACAGAUGGACCCGCGGCGCAUUAGCUAGUUGGUGAGGUAACGGCUCACCAAGGCAACGAUGCGUAGCCGACCUGAGAGGGUGAUCGGCCACACUGGGACUGAGACACGGCCCAGACUCCUACGGGAGGCAGCAGUAGGGAAUCUUCCGCAAUGGACGAAAGUCUGACGGAGCAACGCCGCGUGAGUGAUGAAGGUUUUCGGAUCGUAAAGCUCUGUUGUUAGGGAAGAACAAGUACCGUUCGAAUAGGGCGGUACCUUGACGGUACCUAACCAGAAAGCCACGGCUAACUACGUGCCAGCAGCCGCGGUAAUACGUAGGUGGCAAGCGUUGUCCGGAAUUAUUGGGCGUAAAGGGCUCGCAGGCGGUUUCUUAAGUCUGAUGUGAAAGCCCCCGGCUCAACCGGGGAGGGUCAUUGGAAACUGGGGAACUUGAGUGCAGAAGAGGAGAGUGGAAUUCCACGUGUAGCGGUGAAAUGCGUAGAGAUGUGGAGGAACACCAGUGGCGAAGGCGACUCUCUGGUCUGUAACUGACGCUGAGGAGCGAAAGCGUGGGGAGCGAACAGGAUUAGAUACCCUGGUAGUCCACGCCGUAAACGAUGAGUGCUAAGUGUUAGGGGGUUUCCGCCCCUUAGUGCUGCAGCUAACGCAUUAAGCACUCCGCCUGGGGAGUACGGUCGCAAGACUGAAACUCAAAGGAAUUGACGGGGGCCCGCACAAGCGGUGGAACAUGUGGUUUAAUUCGAAGCAACGCGAAGAACCUUACCAGGGCUU